UUAAGUUCAGCGGGUAGUCCUACCUGAUUUGAGGUCAAAUUGUCAAAAGAUAGUCUCUGAAGAGACGGUUAUAAGCAGGUUCCCACAAGUCUUGCGUCAGAGUCAAGCGGCGUAGAUAAUUAUCACACCAAGCGACCAUCCACAAAGGAUCCCACUAAUGAAUUUAAAGGGAGCAGACCAUCCAACAAAGGAAGCCAGCA
rnacentral:misc_RNA from 1 species